rnacentral:tRNA from 1 species
AGAGCUGUAGCUCAGACUGGGAGAGCACUAGACUGAAGAUCUAGGUGUCCGGGGUUCAAAUCCCCGUAGCCCCA